UACGUAGGGGGCAAGCGUUGUCCGGAUUUACUGGGCGUAAAGAGCGUGUAGGCGGCCACGCAGGUCCGUUGUGAAAACUGGAGGCUCAACCUCCAGCUGUCGACGGAAACCGUAUGGCUAGAGUCCGGAAGAGGAGAGUGGAAUUCCUGGUGUAGCGGUGAAAUGCGCAGAUAUCAGGAAGAACACCAAUGGCGAAGGCAGCUCUCUGGGACGGUACUGACGCUGAGACGCGAAAGCGUGGAGAGCGAACAGG
rnacentral:rRNA from 1 species